rnacentral:rRNA from 1 species
AAAGCUUGCUUUUCUGAAUCUAGUGGCGAACGGGUGAGUAACACGUAGGUAACCUGCCCAUGUGCCCGGGAUAACUUCUGGAAACGGAUGCUAAAACCGGAUAGGUAGCAGACAAGCAUUUGACUGCUAUUAAAGUGGCUAAGGCCAUGAACAUGGAUGGACCUGCGGUGCAUUAGCUAGUUGGUGAGGUAACGGCCCACCAAGGCGACGAUCAGUAGCCGGACUGAGAGGUUGAACGGCCACAUUGGGACUGAGACACGGCCCAAACUCC